rnacentral:misc_RNA from 1 species
GAUGGAGAACGCAGCGAAAUGCGAUAAGUAAUGUGAAUUGCAGAAUUCAGUGAAUCAUCGAAUCUUUGAACGCACAUUGCGCCCGCCAGUAUUCUGGCGGGCAUGCCUGUUCGAGCGUCAUUUCAACCAUCAAGUCCCCGGCUUGUGUUGGGGACCUGCGGCUGCCGCAGGCCCUGAAAACCAGUGGCGGGCUCGCUAGUCACUCCGAGCGUAGUAAUACAUCUCGCUCAGGGCGUGCUGCGGGUUCCGGCCGUUAAAAAGCCUUAUUUACCCAAGGUUGACCUCGGAUCAGGUAGGAAGACCCGCUGAACUUAAGCAUAUCAAUAAGCGGAGGA